UCACAACUCAUAACCUACAUUCACUAAAUCCAUAGACAAACGAUGCGAUACAUUUUCCAUCUAGCUAACCAUCCUUAGAAACUAUCCAUGCCCCUAAGCACUCCUUAGGCGCUGGAUGAUGCGAUGCACAAUACAACAAUCAUCCUAUUUAAAAAUACUCCCCACCCAGAAGCUUCGUUUUAAACUCUGAUUACUCAUUAAUAAAAAAUCAUUCGAAAAGCCUUUUAAAAACUGUUUCUCAUAUGAAAACUCAAUCUUUGAAAGCUGACUACCUUG
rnacentral:lncRNA from 1 species